rnacentral:rRNA from 1 species
UACGAAGGGGGCUAGCGUUGCUCGGAAUCACUGGGCGUAAAGCGCACGUAGGCGGCUUUCUAAGUCAGGGGUGAAAUCCUGGAGCUCAACUCCAGAACUGCCUUUGAUACUGAGAGUCUCGAGUCCGAGAGAGGUGAGUGGAACUGCGAGUGUAGAGGUGAAAUUCGUAGAUAUUCGCAAGAACACCAGUGGCGAAGGCGGCUCACUGGCUCGGUACUGACGCUGAGGUGCGAAAGCGUGGGGAGCAAACAGG